rfam:Desulfotomaculum sp. 46_296 MPI_scaffold_11429, whole genome shotgun sequence.
AGGGGAGUAGCUCAAUUGGUAGAGCAACGGUCUCCAAAACCGUAGGUUGCGGGUUCGAUCCCUGUCUCCCCUG